rnacentral:lncRNA from 1 species
GGAGUGCCCCCCUGCCCUCCUCCAGGGCCAGGGGACCAGCAUCUUCAGGCAGGAAAUAUUCAGACCACUGUGAGGCCCGGGCCUCGAGGCCUGGAAAGAGCCGCAUCCCUGGCCGUGACCACCGGCGCUACUACCACGACCACUGGCGGCUGGAGUACCUGAUGGACUUCAACCCUGCCCGGCACGGCAUGGUGUGCAUGGUGUGCGGCAGCUCCCUGGCCACCCUCAAGCUCAGCACCAUCAAGCGCCACAUCCGCCAAAAGCACCCCUACUCCUUGCAUUGGAGUCCCCGGGAGAAGGAAGUCAUCAGCAACAGCUGGGAUGCACACCUGGGGCUGGGGGCCUGCGGAGAGGCCGAGGGCCUGGGGGUCCAGGGGGCUGAGGAGGAGGAGGAGGAGGAAGAAGAGGAGGAGGAGGAGGGGGCCGGUGUCCCAGCUUGCCCGCCCAAGGGCCCAGGCAAAGCCCCAGCUGGUGGGGGCUGCCGGCGCCAGCGGCGAGGGGGCCCAGUGGCACCCCGGGCUCGGCGUCUGCGCCUCUCAGCCUCCCGGAGGGCCGGGGGCAGCAGGGGGCUGGGGGCCCGGCGCCUGGAGAGGAGGCUGAAGGAGUCCCUGCAGAACUGGUUCCGGGCCGAGUGUCUCAUGGACUAUGACCCGCGGGGGAACCGGCUGGUGUGCAUGGCCUGUGGCCGGGCACUGCCCAGCCUGCACCUGGACGACAUCCGUGCCCACGUGCUGGAGGUGCACCCUGGCUCCCUGGGGCUCAGCGGCCCCCAGCGCAGUGCCCUGCUGCAGGCCUGGGGGGGCCAGCCCGAGGCGCUGUCUGAGCUCACCCAGUCCCCACCAGGCGAUGACCUCGCCCCCCAGGACCUGACCGGAAAGAGCCGGGACUCGGCCUCCGCUGCUGGAGCCCCCUCCUCUCAGGAUCUCAGCCCCCCAGACGUAAAGGAAGAGGCUGGCUGGGUCCCUGAGAGGCCCGGGCCCGCAGAGGAGGAGGAGGAGCUGGAGGAGGGCGAGGGCGAGAGGGCGGGGGUCCCGGGCCGGUCGCCGCGGGGCCGCGCCCACCGCCGCCACCCCCAGGAGCGCUGGCGGCUGGAGUACCUCAUGGAGUUGGACGGCGGCCGGCGCGGCCUGGUGUGCGGGGUGUGCGGGGGCGCGCUGGCCUCGCUCAAGAUGAGCACCAUCGAGCGCCACAUCCGCCGGCGCCACCCGGGCUCCACGCGCCUCGGCGGGCCUGUCCAGGCCCUCAUCGCCCGGGAGUGGAGCGAGAAGGCCGCCCACCUGCUGGCCCUGGGGCCGCCC